rnacentral:lncRNA from 10 species
AGUACUCUCUGGAAGGGCCUGCAUGGCAAGGAACUGAUGUUUCCAGCCAGCAGCCAGCAAGAACUGCAAGCCUUGUGAAUGAGCUUGGAAGCAGAUCCUCCCCUCACUCAAGCCAUGAUAUGACAACAGCCUGAGACCCAGAGUUUUAUGGAUACUUCAAAAAUCAAGAAAGAAUAAGAAGAUAGUAAAGAAUGUUCCUCUCAGCCACCCUGCAUCCAUCCAUUUCCCACCCCAACCUGCAAAAGGUAACCACUGGAUGGGCCCGGUGGCUCACACCUGUAAUCCCAGCAUCUUGGGAGGCCAAGGUGAGCAGAUCACUUGAGCCCAGGAGUUCAAGACCAGCCUAGGUAACAUGGGGAAACCCCAUCUCUACAAAAACACCAAAAUUAGCUGGACGUGGUGGCGCAUGCCUGUAGUCUCAG